CUCUGGGCCCGCGCUCGCUUCUUAGAGGACCCCCGGGUCCUAGCGCGUCGUUUCCCCGUACUGCUAUUUCCAAGUAAAGAAAACAGAAGACGCCAAAAGGGUACACUUCCCAUCGUACUGUUGCCAACCCAUCAUUAUGGAAAUCCCAGACAGGACUGACUAUCUACAUGCUUCUGCAGGUGACAGAUGGCUGUGGGAGGGAUCCCACAUUGAAGCAUGACAAGUGUGACAUACAUGACUGCACAGAUGCUUCAGAUUCCUCCCAAAAUCAAAUUAUUUGAGUAGCAUCCAAAGACAAACCCUAAGAAAUCUUGAAGUUGGAAACAUCAUCUAUUGCAACUCCGGAUGGUAUUUAAUAGAGAAGCAAGAGACAGUAACUAUUUUAAAAUUAAGAAAUUAGAGCUGGAGAGAUGGCAAAGUGGCUGCUCUUCUGGUGGACUGGAGUUCAAUUUCCAGCACCCACAUGGCAGAUCGCAACCUGUUACUCACGUUCCAAUGGA